rnacentral:lncRNA from 1 species
GGCCACCGCACCCAGGGGACCCCACUGCCCGCUGCUGUGGGCCGGGCGGGCUGCUCAGGACCCUUUUACAAAACUUCCCCUCCCGCCCGGCCCCGCUGCUCCCUGCAGCACUGCAUCCCCUGGGCAGCAUCUGCUGGGUCUUCUGGGCACAGCCCCAGCCCCUCUGCCCCUGCCCUGGGGGGUGCCAGGGCUCAGCCACCGUCCCCGCACCCCGCCACGUUCCUGCCUGCUGCUCCACAGCUGCCAAGCACUGCCCUGGGGGGGGCUUUUCGGGUUGGUGGCCCCCCGCACCAGCUUCCCACGGGAACCCCGGGGCGAAGGAAAGCACCGGAGCGCGGGGGCAUCUGCGGUCACGGGGCACGUGGGCUGGGACGGGCGGGCAGCAGCUGCCCCUGCCUCGGCGCCCCGGUCAGCACGGCGUCCACCGCUUCGGGGGGGGGAGCACUGUGGGUGGUGGGGGCCCGUGCCCCUCGUUUCCAUGGGCAGAAAGGUUUUCCUUCUUCCCUCCUUCAGGUUCCCCGCUGUGCCUUGCUGUGUGUCCCGUCUGCUCCCAGCCCCUCGUUUCCUUCCCUCCUGCCCCUGGUGCCGGGGGGAGCCGCAGCAGGGGAGCCCCGGGGUCGCGGCGUCCCUGCGCCGCGCUGCUCGGUGCUGGGAUGCCCGUUUCUGGGGCAGCCCCACGCGUGCCCCCAUACGGGGCCACGUGCACGGAGCCGUGCUGCUGCUGGCAGCCCUGCGCCCCUGCACCCCCCCCCCGCCAGGGGAGCAGCACAGCCCCCCCAUGCUCUGCAGGGCGGGAUCCCAGCCCUGACCCCAUGCCGUCCCACAGCCCACGCUCUGUGCAUCCACGGGGCUGGGUCCCAGCCGUGCCCAGCCCUGUCCUGCCACGCACACACGCAGAAAUGCGUGCACGCACACGCAUGUUGCCCCCCCCCCCCCCCCACGCACACCCACGCACACCCACCCCUGACUUCCCCAGGAAGCCGCGGCCGUGCACGGCGCCUGCGCGCUGCUCGCAGGACCUCUGGUCCCCGGGGCCGCAUUGUCCCCAGGUCGGGUGCUGCCAGCUUCCUUCCCGGCCGCUCCCCUUCCCCUGCCCGCCCCGGCUGCCCGGGGCUGAGUCCCUGUCCCCGCUCCCGGGUCACCCGCCGCUGCCACCUCGCAGCGGGCUUUGCCCAAAAAGCCUCAGCCUUUUGCCGUCCCCUUUCCUGCAGCUGCCCUGCCCCGGCAGCAC